rnacentral:rRNA from 1 species
AUACGUAGGGAGCGAGCGUUGUCCGGAAUUACUGGGUGUAAAGGGAGCGUAGGCGGGAUCGCAAGUCAGAUGUGAAAUGCAUGGGCUUAACCCAUGAGCUGCAUUUGAAACUGCGGUUCUUGAGUGAAGUAGAGGUAAGCGGAAUUCCUGGUGUAGCGGUGAAAUGCGUAGAUAUCAGGAGGAACACCGGUGGCGAAGGCGGCUUACUGGGCUUUUACUGACGCUGAGGCUCGAAAGCGUGGGGAGCAAACAGGAUUAGAUACCCUGGUAGUCCACGCUGUAAACGAUGAUUACUAGGUGUGGGGGGACUGACCCCUUCCGUGCCGCAGCUAACGCAAUAAGUAUUCCACCUGGGGAGUACGGCCGCAAGGUUGAAACUUAAAGGAAUUGACGGGG